rnacentral:lncRNA from 10 species
CUCCAGGUGACAAUCAGGUAUCUGUGUGGGUGCCCACCAAAUAUCUGAAGAUCUAUCAUGAACCACAGCGUCUAGUGGACCCACCUUUAAAUUGAAGGUUUAAGGAUUGCUUUUUUGCUAUACUAUUGUACAAGAAGGACAAGCCUCGGUUUGCUUUCUCUAUGCCUUCUGUUAAUCAGAAAAAGCCUGUUUCUCGCUAUCAAUGGUAAGUUUUACCCCGCGGUAAUUAACCAAAGAGGUAGAAGCUGAGUUUCAAAUGCUUCAGCAAUAAUAAUAGUAAUAAUAAAGGCCUUUGCUUCUGUUUUGCUAGAUUUACUAAUGUGGGGUGAGGGUAUGCUUGUGUUUUUGCGGGAGAUGAACACCGUGUGGGUGCCCUCAAGAUGUGUACAACCAUGGAGCAGGAGAUGAGGGGGACCCAUGGAUCCAAACCAUGGACUGGGUUCCCCCAGUAUGAGCCAUGAGCCAGUUGAAUCUGAAUGUGAAUGUGGAACGAGGACCAACCAGAGUCAUGCUGACAUCAACCCCUAUAACAUGGGGUUAGAUCAAGAAAACCACACAGGAAGCUGAGAAACUGCUGAAGCACCAGGGUUUUACCUUUUGCUGGGAUUCAGAGUCUGCAGAUGCAGAAGCCACUGCUGGAGAGAAAGCCGCCAUUGAGAACAAGCAAUGAUAGCUGUGGCAGUUUUACAAAAAAGAAAAGGGGGACAUGUUGGGAGAAACACUAAGUGUUGGGAGAGAAGCUGAGGCAGGGCUUCGAACAUGUCCAGGGUCCAAGGUAAAACCCCUCCUGGCCUUUGGAAUGUGUCCAGACUUGCUGGCCCCUUGCUUCUAGCACUCCCAUGAUCUCAAGUAGCCAUAUGUUUCAAAGAAAAAUGCUAAACUGUCACAGCUGUAGCUCAUUCACUUGAUACACCACUUCCCACCUAGCAUGUCCAGUUCAUAUUGCUGGAAGGGCAGAUUUACAUGCCUUCUGUUUUAUAGUACUAGUGUAGCAGGACCAGUCGCAGACAAAACUUCUUGGACACCGGUUUUAGGAAGGAAGAGGCUUUAAUCAGCUGGGUGCAUAGGUAGACUCACGUCUCAAGAUCCAAGCUUCCCAAAGUAAAGACUCAUGUCCCUUUUAUAAGGGCUUACAACUCUAAGGGGUCCAUGUGAAAAGGUCGUGAUACAUUGCACAAGUGGGGGCUAUGUGACUGAGGGCUACCUGCAUCAGUGAUGGGGGCUAGCAGAACAGAACAGAAGGUUUCACA